UGGCGCGCGCGGCCGUCCCUCGCUCCGCCCACAACCCGCCCCUCGCGAGGCUCGCUGGGAAUUGUAGUCCGUGACCGCCGCCUCUGGGGCCAGUAGGCCAAGUAGGCUCUGAUGAGGUGACCCCAAAACUAAGUCAAGCAGUGGGAGUCCAGAGAUGUUUGGAGGAAGUGCGGCUUUUGGGGUGCUGCAUAGCCUCUCCUAUCCUAACUAUGGGCAAGGACAGAAUCUCUAACCUUGAAAAUAGCAGAAGAUUGGCGACCCUAAAGAGACCUGAGGUUGAAAUGAGUAGGAUUUGGAAUGUAUGAACUUCAUGACCAGGGACUACAGAGAAAGCAUAGACUCAGCAGUAAUACCAGUCUCAUGAUGGCAAUAAAAAGUCUAGCUGUGACCCUCUUCUGAUUGCAGCAUAAUAUGAAUCCUGCUCCAAAUCUGAAGUACUGUAGAGAGGAUCCUAGCCAACAACCUUCAAAGUCAAAGAGUAAAGUGAAUAAAAUAUGCUCAGCUGGAAAAUAGAGCUAUUUGGAUUUGGGAGCAUUAAGCAAGAGAGGUGAAAAGUAAAGACAAUACUGGAAGCAAAUGGCUGACUACUGAGACAAGAAUUCAAGACAACUCUGAUUGGAUUCCACACACAAGUAUUUGUCUUUCUCUGGCUGGA